CGACGACCUGGAGCCCGGCAAGGAGCGCCGCCGCUUCCCGCGCGGUCAGCUUCGGGGCGCGUUCGAGUCCCACGGUGUGGG
rnacentral:tRNA from 1 species